UGCGGACUCGUAUCACUGCUAACUCUGCUGUCGCUUAGCUGCUUCUUUUCCGAACUCUCCACACGCCUCACAGUACGCCCAUCCAUCUCACUGCGAUUCGGUACUUCGGUUCUCGCUGCCAGCCGCGCACGUCACCUGCUCUCUGUCUUUUGCCAUAGUGGCGCUCGCUUCUCCUGCAGCAUCUUGCACAGACGCGCGCACGCGGCAUCAUCACCGGGCGUCGCAGACUCUGGCUCAGUUUGUCAGCGGGUGCGUGAGUGACGGCAAGUAUUCGUUCUUCUUCCUCCCUGCUUUAUUGUGCUCAUUGUGAAAGAGUCGUGGCGCGCGGUGCGACUCGCUUGCGAUCUCUAGCAGCCGUGCUGGCACUUGUUCUGUUCGCCACCUUCCUUCUCGGCACGAUUCGCGCAGACUUUUGGCGAUUCACCGGCGCAAAAAGAAGCCGUCAUACAGGCGUCGCACGCUAUCUCAUCUCGCGCGUCCCGUACACGCUACUGCUUGUGCGCCUGCCAAAGACCACGAGCCGCAUUAAGCCAUAUGCAGUCCAUUCCGUAGCGCCGACUGAGAAAUGCAUGCACUUUACGGGGCGGAGCCCGCAUAUGAGAAGCAGCCGGAGGACCGUGCCGGCUGGCUACUCGGGGCGUUUUUUCAUACGUGGCUUGGCGACCUCAUGCAGCGCGCGGCGCGAGAGGAGCUGACCAUGGAUGGGCUGCCGCGCCCGAUGCGCGAGUACCGCGCCUACAACGCUGGCGUCGCGCUGUCGGCGGAGCUGCAGCGCCAGCGAGCGCGCCGCCAUGCGUGGGACGGCUACGUCGGCGCGCGCGUCGGCGUGCGCUGGGACGACGCCAGCGACGGCGUGCUGCGCUGGGUGGGCGCGGUGCAGCAGUACGGCACGCCGGGGCGGCUGUACGCGGGCGUGGAGUGGCGCGUGGCCCCGUCGCGGCGCCGUGGCUGCUGCGUUCGGCGCUGCAUGGGGUGGCUGCUGUGCCGCGGAUGCAGCGCCCCUGUCCCGGAGCAGGGUCCCGGCGCGUAUCACCGCGGCGAGGUGGAUGGCGAGCACCUGUUCGACCCCGUGGAAGACGACACGGUGCUGACGUGCGAGCGAGUCGAGGACGUAAUUUUUUGGCGAGAUGAACCGGGAGGAGAAACUCAUGAAGCAAGGACUACUGAGGAAGACUUCGUUGACGACGCGGGUAUCAGCAGUCAGAGGCAAUCAGAGGAGAGUUGCGCAGAGGUUGCCGCUCCACCGACGUGCAUGUCUGUGACAGUGGCCCUUUUCAGCGUUCUCCGUUGGCAGCUGCUUCUUUUGGGGCCCUUGCGCCUAACAGUAGAUGUCACUGCGCUGCUGACUCCCAUGGCGCUCAGCUGGUACAUCCGCCUUCUACAGGGAAGCACAGACACAACAUCUUCUGAGAGUGCAAGCAGCGGCACCAGCAGCGCGGCUGCUUCGUCUUGGCAGUCAUCCAGCGUCGUGGAUAGCGGGAGCAUGAGGGAUGCUUCGUGGCAGCCCGUGGCAAGCGUCGUUCUCCUCUUUGCCAUCUCGCUCGUACGCAGUCUCGCCCUCCAGAAGUACGCGCAACUUGCCUACCGCAGCGCGUACGCCGUGCGGUCGGGCUUGUCAUCCUGCAUCACUGCCAAGUGUCUGCGGAUUGCGUCGCGAGAGCUGCGGCGACCUGAGCUUAACCCCGGGCGCAUUUUGAAUCUCAUCACGACGGAUGUUGCGAGCAUGGAGGGCACAAUGUAUGUCCUCUGGAUGGCAGUGACGGUGCCCCUUCAAGUUUGUGCUACCGUGUGCAUGCUCUACCGAAGCAUUGGCUGGGCAGCGGGCAUCAGCAUCCUCAUGCUGCUACUCUUCUUGCCAAUACAGAUCCUUCUGACGAAGAUGACCUACACCUGUACAGUAGGUCUGGCGAAGUCCUCUGAUGCGCGACUCCGCACCACGAACGAGUUCCUCUCCGGCAUCCGCACCAUCAAGUUCAUGAGUCUCGAGGACACCUUUGAGGAGGAGAUCAACGCGCGCAGAGCGGCCGAGCUCCGUGCUGUGCGUCGAUUCCAGCUCAUUUCCACCGCCAACUCGCUCAUCUCCCAGUGUGUGCCAAGCUGCACGACAGCAGCGGUAAUGGUUGCCUACUACUGCAAGGGUUAUCCCAUGUCUCCCGAAAUUAUCUACCCCGCUCUCUCCCUGCUCAGCCUCAUGGACACCCCGUUUGAGCUCGUCAGGACCCUUGUCGGGGAGUUCUCGCAGUUCUUUGUGUCCAUGAAGCGUCUCACCUCCUUCCUUGCCGCUGACGACGCGCAGGCACGCGACAUCCUUGAGGCGGCGCUGGCGUCGAAGGAGGGCGACGACGCGGCCGCCGUGCUGCGCAACGCGACGGUGAGCUCCUACAAGGCUGUGCCGCUGCCCCCGGCCAGCAGCCGCGAGGGCGGCGGUGGGGACACGCACUACGAGCUGCGCGCCAAGACGCUGCUGGCGGAUGUGGACCUGCGCGUGCCGCGCGGGCGGCUGACGGUGGUGCUGGGGCCGACGGGCAGCGGCAAGUCCACGCUGCUGGACGCACUGAUCGGCGCGCUGGCGGUGACGCGCGGCCGCGUGGCGUGCUCGCGCAGCGUGGCCUACGUGCCGCAGCAGCCGUGGAUCAUGAACGCAACGCUGCGCGACAACGUCAUCUUCUUCGGCGCGCCGGACGCGGCGGCCUUCGAGCGCGCGGUGCGCAGCAGCCAGCUGGCCUCGGACCUGGCGCUGCUGGCGGACGGCGCGGAGACGACGAUCGGCGAGAACGGCAUCAACCUGAGCGGCGGGCAGAAGGCGCGCGUGAGUCUAGCGCGCGCCGUGUACGCGGACCGCGACGUGUACUUGCUGGACGACCCGCUGUCGGCACUGGACGCGCAGGUGGGCGAGCGCGUGAUGCGCGAGUGCGUGUGCGGCGCGCUGGCCGGCAAGACGCGCGUGCUGGCCACUCACCAGGUCAGCGCCGCCGCCUACGCGGACCUGGUUGUGCUGCUGGAGGAGGGCCGCGUCGCCUUUCAGGGCAACUACGCCGCUUACUGCGAGUACGCCCGGCUGCACUACGAGCGCAGCCUGAGCGGCAUGGGCAAGGCGUCUGCCUACGCCGCGCAAACGGUCAGCGAGCUGGCAUCCGCCGUUGAUCUGUCGAAGCUGGAGGACAUCCUUGAUGACAACGUUGAGGUGCAGCGGCCGUUGACGGAAUCGACGCUGGAGUCGAGUGGUGGUGUGCUGUUCGCAGCGGAGCAACUGGCGCACAGAGUGCUGGGUGACACGGUGACAAAGGAUUCGGCCGACGUGACUGUGGUGGAGAGUGGCGAGGAGAAGGCGGUCGGCGCCGUUCCGUGGGAGGUUUAUCGCCGCUACAUCGAGGCCUGCGGCGGCUGGCUGACCCUCUGCAGCAUUAUGAUCUUUUUCCUCCUUACGGAGGGAGUGUCUCGCUCUGGGGACGUGUGGCUCUCUCUCUGGUCUGGAGGAAAGCUGGAAAGGCUCUCCACUCACCUGCGUCUUAGCCUUUACGUGACAGCGGUCCUUGCAGCCAUCCUCGUCCCCCCCUCUCGUGACUUGUGGUGCUUCACAAUAAUGCGGCGUGCGUCUUACCAUAUUCACGCAGGGCUGCUACGCUCCUUAGCCCGCGCGAGACUCUCCUUCUUCAAUGUCACACCACGCGGCCGCCUCAUCAACCGCAUGUCACGCGACAUGGGACUCAUAGAUUGGGACUUGAGCGUCAGUGUCGACAUCCUUCUCUUUUUCUUUUUCUACCUUGUGGCGUACUUUGCAAUCAUGACGACAUCGCAGCCCUUCGUCCUUGUCGUGCUGGUGCCGUGCAUUUUGGUGUACGGCCACAUCUUUCGCUUCUUCUGCGCUGCCAACCGCGAGAUGCAGCGCCUGCUCAACAUCUCCAACUCGCCCGUCUUCUCGAUCCUGAACGAGGUACUCACAGGACGCUGGACCAUCUGCACCUACGGCCGCGAGCAGGACAUGAUGCGCGAGGUACUGCGGCGGCUGGACAGCGUCUUUGCAUGCUCCUACAUGCAGUGCAUGGGCAGCCGGUGGCUUUCGGUGCGCGUGGAGCUACUGGGCAACGUGGCUGUGUCGGGGCUAGCGCUGCUCGGCGUGCUGGCGACGAAGCUGCCGUGGAUGCACAUGAACCUGGGCCUGCUCGCGCUCAGCAUAACCAAGGCGUCCUCCAUCACUAUGGUGCUGUCGAGCUUCAUCAGCAUUGGGGCAUCGGUGGAGGCGUCGAUGAACUGCGUGGAGCGCGUACUGUACUACACGGACAACGCGCCGGCGGAGGACAUAGGUGGCGGCGAGAGCGCAAUGGAGGCGUGCGGCAGCACCGCGCUCUCCGUGGUCGCCGGCGACGAUGCCUCCGCUGCUACAGCGCCGGCGGGGUCGCUUGUGCUGGAGCACGUGGACAUGCGGUACCGGCCGGGGCUGCCGCUGGUGCUGCGCGACGUGUGCUUCGCGGUGGCGCCGGGGCAGAAGGUGGGCGUUGUGGGGCGCACCGGUAGCGGGAAGUCGACGCUGCUGCUGGCCUUCCUGCGGCUGGUGGAGGUGUGCGGCGGCCACAUGCUCGUGUGCGGGCGCGACGCGCGCGACUACGGCGUGCGCGAGCUGCGCCGGCUCUUCUCGACGAUCCCGCAGGACCCGCUGCUGUUCGAGGGCACGGUGCGCAGCAACGUGGACCCCUUUGGCUGCUGCGGCGACGCGGCGGUGUGGCGCGCGCUGCGGCAGGUGGGGAUGGAGGAGCGCGUGCGCGGCGAGGCGGGCGGGCUGGACGGGCGCGUGCAGGAGGGCGGCGCAAACUACAGCGUGGGCCAGCGCCAGCUGCUGUGCCUGGCGCGCGCGCUGCUCAAGCGCGGCAGCGCCUUCCUGCUCAUGGACGAGGCAACCGCAAACGUCGACCCCGCGCUCGACCGCCAGAUCCAGCGCACGGUGCAGCACACCUUUCGCGACUACACCGUCGUCACCAUCGCGCACCGCCUGCACACCGUCGCCGCCUGCGACGUCAUCCUCGUCAUGGACCAGGGCCGCGUUCUCGAGUUCGGCUCGCCGCGCGAGCUGGUGGAGCGCCAGGGAUCCGCUUUCGGCGCGCUGGUGAGGUCACUGAGCAGAGGUGCGCAGCAAGCAUUUCGUGUAGCGGUGGAGAGUGUGCCUGAUAAAUUUCCAGUGUAGCGCUGAUUGACGAUGGACAUGUGGUGUGCGGACGAAGGUUGGUGUGAUAGUGCUGUGACCACCUGCUGUGCAAAUGACAUGCUGGUGGUGACGGCGGCUUGCAGGAAAAGUUUUUAUGGAUUCGAUUGCACAUCUCUUUACCACCAUCUGGGGAGGGCUGCUCUUUUUCGUUUUUUUUUGUGUAGCUCCGCUUGCUUUACUCUCGUUCAGCAGGGACCGUAUGUGGUGGCAGCGGUGCUUACACUGGUACCUCGAUGCAAGUGACAUCACGGUGGAUUUCGGUUGUGAUGUGAGGCCGCGUUCGGUGGCACGGCGCAG
rnacentral:misc_RNA from 1 species